GGGGAAUAUUGCACAAUGGGCGAAAGCCUGAUGCAGCAACGCCGCGUGAGCGAUGAAGGCCUUCGGGUCGUAAAGCUCUGUCCUCAAGGAAGAUAAUGACGGUACUUGAGGAGGAAGCCCCGGCUAACUACGUGCCAGCAGCCGCGGUAAUACGUAGGGGGCUAGCGUUAUCCGGAUCUACUGGGCGUAAAGGGUGCGUAGGUGGUUUCUUAAGUCAGGAGUGAAAGGCUACGGCUCAACCGUAGUAAGCUCUUGAAACUGGGAAACUUGAGUGCAGGAGAGGAAAGUGGAAUUCCUAGUGUAGCGGUGAAAUGCGUAGAUAUUAGGAGGAACACCAGUAGCGAAGGCGGCUUUCUGGACUGUAACUGACACUGAGGCACGAAAGCGUGGGGAGCAAAC
rnacentral:rRNA from 1 species